rnacentral:lncRNA from 1 species
CCUUAAAUCCCUUCUGAAGUGAGCUGUGAUAUAGAGGAAAAUGUAAGCAUAUUGGGCUGUAGCAGUAAAAGAAUAGACAUAUUACUUGGGCGUUCAUUUAAGGUAUAAUGGUACAUUAUGUGUGAACAUUAUAUAAAACAACAAAAAUAUGCACUAAAGGGCAGGUAUUGACACAUUUUUUUAAAAAAACUGGCUAAAACAUUUAAAAUAAUGUUUUUAAAACAUCAAAGAUUAUAGAGUAGUAACGAAUUACCAGGCAGUUGAAAAGUUGAGCAUCUAGAACAGCAGAGCCCUAAGCCAUCUUCCUCAGCAAGCGUGAUGUACUGUCAGAGAACCGGAGUCGGUGCUUGCACAGAUCAGUCAGAGUUGGAAAGAGUCAGGAGGAACGAAGUUGGGGGAUCAGACAGGAAGCCCUUUCUUACAGCAGUUUGGGGUCCAAGAGCAGAGGAAGGUUAGAUGGGACCUGACCAAUCUGGAGAGAAUCCAGGCCUGCUGGGAUUUUGUAGACAUGGUGACUCAGACCCUGGGGAUGGCGCCUGCCACUGAGGUCUGCAGGGAAACUUCCAGGUUGGUUCUUAAACUCAGUUUCCAAGCUAGUGCUUACAGAUGGCGCUUGCUGUGGCCAAGUCAGUGGGGACGGGAGAAUAGCGCUCUCAGGGGGCACUGAGGAGAGCUGCGAUGGAGUGUUUUCUCCCAUUGGGAAGACCACAGGGCGGCAUGGUGUUAUCAGGGACAGUCACUGAUUCUCAUGGGACAGGAUAGUCACAGGGACCUCACAGUGUGCAGAGCUGGGACAGUAAGAAACAAAGGAGCACGUCAGUGUCUGCUCUAAUAACCUACAGUGGUAAGCCAUAGAUUAAUAACGCCUCGCUGCUGAGUGAUGACCGCUGUGCUCUUCGUCAAUGUUCUGCCUUUCAGCCAGGGUUGCUGUGGAUGAAGAUGACGAUGAUGUUGGGCAACCGAGUGACAGUGACAAGGAUGAGGAAGACUAUGCGCCGACAGAUGAAGAUUCUGACUGGCAACCAGGAAAGGAUGAUGAGGAGAAGGAAGAUGUGGAUGAGCUUUUGAAAGAAGCAAAGCGGUUCAUGAGAAGGAAAACGUAGCUUUUCUGCAACGACGGAACACACACUCACAUUUGCUUUUCUCCGUGGGAAACAUAGUCGCUUCCCUCUUCCACUAGUUCUCUGCACUUGAAGCCUUGGAACACCGGCCUUCAGUGAAGGUGGGGAGUGAAUGCCGGCUGCUGCCUGUUUUAGUGUCUAUUAUGCA